rnacentral:rRNA from 1 species
UACGUAGGGGGCUAGCGUUGUCCGGAAUCAUUGGGCGUAAAGCGCGUGUAGGCGGUCCGGUAAGUCCGCUGUGAAAGUCGGGGGCUCAACCCUCGGAUGCCGGUGGAUACUGUCGGGCUUGAGUACGGAAGAGGCGAGUGGAAUUCCUGGUGUAGCGGUGAAAUGCGCAGAUAUCAGGAGGAACACCGGUGGCGAAGGCGGAUCUCUGGGCCUGUCCUGACGCUCAGGCGCGAAAGCUAGGGGAGCAAACAGG